rnacentral:rRNA from 1 species
UACGUAGGGUGCAAGCGUUGUCCGGAAUUAUUGGGCGUAAAGAGCUCGUAGGCGGUCUGUCGCGUCUGCUGUGAAAACUCAGGGCUUAACCCUGAGCUUGCAGUGGGUACGGGCAGACUAGAGUUCGGUAGGGGAGUCUGGAAUUCCUGGUGUAGCGGUGAAAUGCGCAGAUAUCAGGAGGAACACCGGUGGCGAAGGCGGGACUCUGGGCCGAUACUGACGCUGAGGAGCGAAAGCGUGGGGAGCAAACAGG